rnacentral:rRNA from 1 species
GACGAACGCUGGCGGCGUGCUUAACACAUGCAAGUCGAGCGAGAACCUUCCCUUCGGGGAAGGGAAGCGGCGAACGGGUGAGUAACACGUGGGUAAUCAACCCUUGGUACCGGGAGUAGCGUCGGGAAACUGACAGUAAUACCGGAUGGCCUACUAGCUCUACGGGGCGAGUAGAAAAGGUAGCGCUUCGGCGCCUCCGACCGAGGACGAGCCCGCGGCUGAUUAGCUUGUUGGUGAGGUAACGGCUCACCAAGGCGACGAUCAGUAGCUGGUCUGAGAGGAUGAUCAGCCACACUGGAACUGAGACACGGUCCAGACUCCUACGGGAGGCAGCAGUGGGGAAUCUUGCGCAAUGGACGAAAGUCUGACGCAGCCACGCCGCGUGAGUGAAGAAGGCCU